UAUAAAUGUAAUUAAUAAAAUUAAAAUUAUUAUGAGUUAUGAUCUUUAAAAUUAAAAAUUUUGGCGGUAUUUUAGUCUAUUCAGAGGAACCUGUCUUAUAAUUGAUAGUCCACGAUUUAUGGUACUUUAUUUUUAAAUUUAUAUAUCGUCGUAGUUUGAAUAUUUUAUUAGAAUUAUAAUAUUCAAAAAAUUUAAUUAAAUGAGAAUUCAGAUCAAGAUGUAGUUUAUAGUAAAGAAAAGAUGGGUUACAUUAAAUUUAUUUUUAGUUCAUUAAUUGAAAAUUAAUAAUAAAUUGGAUUUGAAAGUAAUUUUAUAUUUUUUAUAAAGUGAUUAUGCUCUAAAAUAUGU
rnacentral:rRNA from 1 species